GCAAGUCGAGCGAACAGAUGAGAAGCUUGCUUCUCUGAUGUUAGCGGCGGACGGGUGAGUAACACGUGGGUAACCUACCUAUAAGACUGGGAUAACUCCGGGAAACCGGGGCUAAUACCGGAUAAUAUUUUGAACCGCAUGGUUCAAUAGUGAAAGACGGUUUCGGCUGUCACUUAUAGAUGGACCCGCGCCGUAUUAGCUAGUUGGUAAGGUAACGGCUUACCAAGGCGACGAUACGUAGCCGACCUGAGAGGGUGAUCGGCCACACUGGAACUGAGACACGGUCCAGACUCCUACGGGAGGCAGCAGUAGGGAAUCUUCCGCAAUGGGCGAAAGCCUGACGGAGCAACGCCGCGUGAGUGAUGAAGGUCUUCGGAUCGUAAAACUCUGUUGUUAGGGAAGAACAAAUUUGUUAGUAACUGAACAAGUCUUGACGGUACCUAACCAGAAAGCCACGGCUAACUACGUGCCAGCAGCCGCGGUAAUACGUAGGUGGCAAGCGUUAUCCGGAAUUAUUGGGCGUAAAGCGCGCGUAGGCGGUUUCUUAAGUCUGAUGUGAAAGCCCACGGCUCAACCGUGGAGGGUCAUUGGAAACUGGGAAACUUGAGUGCAGAAGAGGAGAGUGGAAUUCCAUGUGUAGCGGUGAAAUGCGCAGAGAUAUGGAGGAACACCAGUGGCGAAGGCGGCUCUCUGGUCUGUAACUGACGCUGAUGUGCGAAAGCGUGGGGAUCAAACAGGAUUAGAUACCCUGGUAGUCCACGCCGUAAACGAUGAGUGCUAAGUGUUAGGGGGUUUCCGCCCCUUAGUGCUGCAGCUAACGCAUUAAGCACUCCGCCUGGGGAGUACGACCGCAAGGUUGAAACUCAAAGGAAUUGACGGGGACCCGCACAAGCGGUGGAGCAUGUGGUUUAAUUCGAAGCAACGCGAAGAACCUUACCAAAUCUUGACAUCCUUUGACCGCUCUAGAGAUAGAGUCUUCCCCUUCGGGGGACAAAGUGACAGGUGGUGCAUGGUUGUCGUCAGCUCGUGUCGUGAGAUGUUGGGUUAAGUCCCGCAACGAGCGCAACCCUUAAGCUUAGUUGCCAUCAUUAAGUUGGGCACUCUAGGUUGACUGCCGGUGACAAACCGGAGGAAGGUGGGGAUGACGUCAAAUCAUCAUGCCCCUUAUGAUUUGGGCUACACACGUGCUACAAUGGAUAAUACAAAGGGCAGCGAAUCCGCGAGGCCAAGCAAAUCCCAUAAAAUUAUUCUCAGUUCGGAUUGUAGUCUGCAACUCGACUACAUGAAGCUGGAAUCGCUAGUAAUCGUAGAUCAGCAUGCUACGGUGAAUACGUUCCCGGGUCUUGUACACACCGCCCGUCACACCACGAGAGUUUGUAACACCCGAAGCCGGUGGAGUAACCUUUUAGGAGCUAGC
rnacentral:rRNA from 1 species